GGGAAGGUGGCUCAGUGGUAGAGUGCUUGCUUUGCAUGCAUAAGGCCCUAGGUUCGAUUCCUCAGCAUCACA
rnacentral:tRNA from 1 species